rnacentral:rRNA from 1 species
GGUAGCAUAAUCAUUAGGUUUUUAAUUGAGAUCUUGUAUGAAUGAUUGGACAAAAGAAAUACUGUCUUUAUAUUAAAAUUUGAAUUUAACUUUUAAGUGAAAAGGCUUAAAUAUUCUAAAGGGACGAUAAGACCCUAUAAAACUUUACAUUAGUAUUAAAUUUUAUUAAAUUUAAUAAUAAUAAUUAAAUUUAAUUUUUUGUUAUAUUGGGGAGAUAAAAGCUAUAAUUAUAAAUAACUGCUUAUAAAGAAAACAAAAAUAAAUGGAAUAAGGUUAUAGAUCCUUUUUAAAGAUUUAAAGAUUAAGUUACUUUAGGGAUAACAGCGUUAUUUUUUUUGAGAGUCCAUAUCGAAAAAAGAGAUUGCGACCUCGAUGUUGAAUUAAAAUAUCUUUAUAAUG